rnacentral:tRNA from 1 species
UAGAAAAUAUUAUAAGGUAGUAUUGAGAGUUUUGGGCUCUUAGGUCUAAGUUCGAUUCUUGGUUUUCUAA